GACGAACGCUGGCGGCGUGCCUAAUACAUGCAAGUCGAACGAAAGCAACCGGUGCUUGCACUGGUCAAUCUAGUGGCGAACGGGUGAGUAACACGUGGGUAACCUGCCCAUCAGAGGGGGAUAACAUCCGGAAACGGAUGCUAAAACCGCAUAGGUCUUCGAACCGCAUGGUUUGAAGAGGAAAAGAGGCGCAAGCUUCUGCUGAUGGAUGGACCCGCGGUGCAUUAGCUAGUUGGUGAGGUAACGGCUCACCAAGGCCGUGAUGCAUAGCCGACCUGAGAGGGUGAUCGGCCACAUUGGGACUGAGACACGGCCCAAACUCCUACGGGAGGCAGCAGUAGGGAAUCUUCCGCAAUGGACGCAAGUCUGACGGAGCAACGCCGCGUGAGUGAAGAAGGUUUUCGGAUCGUAAAACUCUGUUGUUAGAGAAGAACAAGUGCUAGAGUAACUGUUAGCGCCUUGACGGUAUCUAACCAGAAAGCCACGGCUAACUACGUG
rnacentral:rRNA from 1 species